AAGAUUAAGCCAUGCAUGUCUAAGUAUAAGCAAUUUAUACAGUGAAACUGCGAAUGGCUCAUUAAAUCAGUUAUCGUUUAUUUGAUAGUACCUUUACCUGGAUAACCGUGGUAAUUCUAGAGCUAAUACAUGCUAAAAACCUCGACUUCGGAAGGGGUGUAUUUAUUAGAUAAAAACCAAUGCCCUUCGGGGCUCCUUGGUGAUUCAUAAUAACUUAACGAAUCGCAU
rnacentral:rRNA from 1 species